UACAGAGGUCUCAAGCGUUGUUCGGAUUCAUUGGGCGUAAAGGGUGCGUAGGCGGCGCGGUAAGUCGGGUGUGAAAUCUCGGGGCUUAACUCCGAAACUGCAUUCGAUACUGCCGUGCUUGAGGACUGGAGAGGAGACUGGAAUUUACGGUGUAGCGGUGAAAUGCGUAGAUAUCGUAAGGAACACCAGUGGCGAAGGCGGCUCACUGGCCCGAUACUGACGCUGAGGCACGAAAGCGUGGGGAGCAAACAGG
rnacentral:rRNA from 1 species